rnacentral:tRNA from 1 species
GCCCUCGUGGUGAAACUGGCAGACACGCAGCGUUCAGGGCGCUGUGAGCGUAAGCUCAUGGAGGUUCAAAUCCUCUCGAGGGCA